UGGGAGUUGAAGUCCAAAACACCUGGACGGCCCAAGUUUGUCCAUUCCUGCUCUUAGUUCUCUCUUUUAGAUUCUUUGCGCCCUUGGUUUCUUCCAGACUCUAUUUACCUUGAAAGGGCGAUUCUCUGCCUUGGAAUCAUAAAGGGACCUCUGUCAAUCUGUUGUGGAAGGCUUUCAAUGCCGGAAUCACUGGGUUGCUGUGAGUUUUCCGGGCUGUAUGGCCGUGUUCCAGAAACAUCCCCUCCUGACAAUUCCGUCCACAUCAGUGGCAGGCACCCUCAGAGGUUGUGAGGUGAUUAAUUGCAACACUCACACUUGUUAAGGAUUAAGGGUUCCCUCAGGUAGGAAACAGCCAGGCUUUGAAGCAGCAAGGCUUUUCAAUGCUAAUCAAGGUGAUUAAUUGCAACAUUCACACUUGCCUCCAACAGACAAGAGUUCUUUCUCCCAGCCUGGACCUUCCACAGAGAUAUAAACCCCACUUGCCUAGUUCCAACAGACCUUACUGUUGGGAAUUGAUGAACCUCUGAAGAUGCCUGCCAUAGAUGUGGGCGAAAUGUCAGGAGAGAAUGCUUUUGGAACAGGGCCAUUGCAGCAACCCAUCUGUCAAUCUGGUCUCAGUUGCAAUAGGAACCUAGAUUUCGGCUCCAAGGCCAUGGGGAGGGCGCUGCCAUACUUAUCCCAGACCAAUGGUAUUUCUACAAUGAAUACAGUUUGACCCCACUCCCACUCAAUGCUAUGGAAUCCUGAUAAGGCACCAGCACUAACUGACAUUUCUAAAGACCUCACAAAACUAUAGCUCCCGUGAUCCCAUAAGACAGGACCCUGAUAGAUAAAGUAGUGUCAAACUGCAGUAAUUCUACAGGGACGCCUUAGAAUUGCCCUAAUUCGGAGAUGAUUUGAAGCCGCACCACGACGAUGCUCUCCCGGCAUCUGUCUGUGUGUAUAUUAUCAUCUCGUUUCGAAUUAGCUUCGACUGGCACAAUGCCAAGGCUCCAGCCCUCCAACUCUUUAGUCUGCCUCAGUCCCAUAAACGCCACUGAGACGGUCUCGCCAGGAGUUGCUUGAGGGCUGGUUGUGCCUUUUACUAGGUGCUCCGGGAGUGUGGUUGUGUGCUUUCACUGGUUAUUACAUCGACUUUCUGACUUGUAGAUCCCACCUUCCCCAGGUCAUCUGACCAUGGCUUGUCCCGGAUUUUCUGUUCUCGCUGUACACCGGCGAGGAUGUGAGUGCGCCCAAGAGAAAAGGUCUUUUUCAGAGAGCCAGUUCCGCUUAUUUUACAGAGACUUCUAGGGCGCAUUCCUUUGGAAGAAGAGCUCGCUGGACAUUGUAAGGACUGCGCUCUUGUUCCUAAGCGGGGGCUCUUUGGGCCCUUCCACACAGCCCUAUAUCCCAGAAUAUCAAGGCAGAAAAUCCCACAAUAUCAGCUUUGAAAUGGGUUAUCUGAGUCCAGAUAAGGGCUGUGUGGAUUCCUUUGGAGUUCGGCCUAAAGACUUCCAAGGCACCAGAUCCCUUCUGAUCUCCGAAGCUAUGCAGGGACCUCCUUGCUUAGGACUUAGAUGGGAGGCUGCUAACGGAUACUAGAGGUUGUAGGCUAUGUUUCAAAGGCAGCAUAAUCCCUGAGAAAACCCUAAGGAGUUCAUGGGGAGGCGACUUGAAGUUACACUCACCGUUUGUCCCUAAAUAUGUUGUCGAAGGCUUUCGUGGCCGGGAUCACAGGAUUGUUGUAUGUUUUGGCUGUAUGUUGGUAUGUUUGACGUUUCGCCCACAUCUGAGGAUGCCUGCCAUAGAUGUGGGCGAAAGGUCAGGAGACAAUACUUCUGGAACAUGGCCAUACAGCUCGAAAAACAUACAACAACUAUGUCCCUAAAUAGUUCCGUCUUUCCCCCUACAUCCCCACAGAUCCGGAAGCCAAAGGGGAAUUGGGGCUUUUGCUAGCCAAAAGGCAAGGCGCUUUCAGGCAAUAAUCUUGGAGCGCAUCUUUCUACACUGUAGGACGAAUGCAGAUUAACACCCCUUUGCUCGCCAUGGCUCAAGACUAUGGUUUUGCACCUGCUCCUUCCUUCCUGCCUCCACAAAUCACAAUCCCAGGGUUCCAUCGCAAUGAGCCAUGUUAGUUAAAGUGGGGUCAAGCCGCAUUCAUUCUACAGUGUAGAUGCACCUCUACAAGGCGGACACAAACCUUCUCGGACUGUAGGACUUGUUUCCCCCUCUUUGCAACACAUUUGAGAAAAGGGGAUUCCAGGGUUCUCUCCCCCCUCCCGCGCGAGAUUUUCUUUUCUUUGAACUUCAUUCCCAAAGGAAGGCGGGCAUCUUUUGUCAGUGGGACUUUUUUAGAUGGAGAAGCAAAGCAAGCCAGGCGCUGCCAAUGGGAGAGGACCAAGGCUGAACCCUCGCCAUCGCAUCGCUCUUCGGAAAGCAACCAAGGGAGGGAAGGGACUUCGUGGUUGUGUCAAACUUCUGUGCCCUAUCCAUUUCACUUUCUUCUUCUUUGUUUUUGGUGAUGUUUUAGAUCCAGGAGGUUUAUUUAUUACCGAGUGUUUACAAUUGGUUUUUGCUUUUCCCUUUGUUUUUACAUGAACCAUUUAUUGUCACAAAACAUGCUGCCAUCGUUUAUGUAACUUUUUUUUUCUGAGACAGAGAGAUCAAAUAAACAACUUUUCGCAGAUAACUUUGGCGGAGAGACUUCUUUAUAAGGCGUUCCCGAUCGAAAAGGUUUCCAAGGUAUUAUUUGCGGAUCGGCUCCUCAAAACUCCGUAAAAAUCCAAUAGACGUUAAAGCUGAGUCGCUGUGAGUUUUCCGGGCUGUAUGGCCAUGUUCCAGAAACAUUCCCCCAGGACGUUUCGCCCACACCUCUGGCAGGCAUCCUCAGAGAUUGUGAGAUCUGUUGGAAACUAGGCAAGUGGGGUUUAUAUAUCUGUGCAAUGUCCAGGGUGGGCGAAAGAAUUUUUGUCUAUUUGAGGCAAGCAUGAAUGUUGCAAUUGGCCAGCUUGAUUAGCAUUGAAUAGCAAUGCCAUCAAGGCCACUCAACACCUCCCAACAAAGGAUUCCCCCAGGCAGGAAACAGCCAGGCUUUAAAGCUGCCAGGCUAUUCAAUGCUAAUCAAGCUGGCCAGUUGCAACAUUCACACUUGCCUCAAACAGACAAGAGUUCUUUCUCCCACCCUAAAUAUUCCACAGAUAUAUAAACCCCACUUGGUUUCCAACACCUCACAACCUCUGAGGAUGCCUGCCAUAGAUGUGGCGAAACGUUAGGAGAGAAUGCUUGUGGAACAUGGCCAUACAGCCCGGGAAAACUCACAUCAAUCCAGUAAUUCUGGCCAUGAAAGUCUUCAACAACACAUUGCUCGAAUGUUGUUACCACAUAGAAUGAGGAGUCCUACCCUGUAGUAACAAUAUUUACUAGUGAAUUAGCAGUACUUGUUCUCGUAGUAGGACGUCCCCAAAGAGUCUCUUCCUGGUAAAUAAACUUAAGACCCGCUAACUGAAUGGGAGGGUUUAUUUAUUUAUUUACAGUAUUUAUAUUCCGCCCUUCUCACCCCAAAGGGGACUCAGGGCGGAUCACAUUGUACACAUAUAAGGCUAACAUUCAAUGCCAUAUAAACAUAGAACAGAGACGGAGACAGACGCAGAGGCAAUUUAAAUCUUCUCCAGCUUCCAGCGGGUAUGCUUGAUUCCGGCCACAGGGGGAGCAGCUGUUUCAUCAUCCACUGCGAGGGCAACUUCCUCAUUCCAACGCAGCUGAUUUUUUAUGAUGUCAUAAAUUAGCCUUCCCACCUAUAAGUGGUACCUAAAUUUCCUACUUGAUAGAUGCAACUAACUUUCAGGUUACUUAGGUCAACAACGAGCCGGGUGCUCACCCCGACACGGGCUGGCUUCAAACUCAGAGUGAUUUAUUUCAGCUGGCUGCUAACCAGCCUGCGCCACAGCCCGGCCCCUUUUCAGGGUCCCUAUAUACCAUUUUAUCUGCCAUGCAUUUAUGGUUUGGUGAGGCCCUAGACCUUUUCGGCAGAGAAGGCCAGAGACCUUGUAAAACUACAGCUCCCAGAAUACCAAAGCAUUGCACCAGGGCACUUAAAGCGGGGCCAAACUGCAUUAACUCUACGAUGUAGUUGCGCUCACAGUCAUCAUGGCCAGACUGUUAGUAAUAACAGUGCUAUUAUAACAAUAAGGCAGUGCCUUGGGAUGAUGAUGCCUUGACACUCACCAUAGGCAUGAUCCUAAUGGGACGCCUGUAAUUUGCAUUAUCUACUCUGGAACAAUUUGAAGUAUCAUUGCUAUCUAAUUGUGGGGUUAUUAGGAGAUAAAAACUCCGUUUUACUUCCCGGUCAUCCUGAAAUAAAUCAUCAUAAGAAGAAAUAAACUGAUACAAGAGUGAAAGUUAUUUCCCACCUGAUAUAUAGGAAUACACAAACAAAGCACCCCCGAUAGAUGGCCAUCCAGUGUCUCUUUUAAAAUAUCCAGAGAGAAAGUCUCUACCAUACAUCAAACUAUCCAACAGCUCAGGAAGUUCUUCCUAAUAUUUAAGCGGAAUUCCCUUCCUUCUGUAGUUUGAAUCCAUUGCUCCAUGUCAUAGCUUCUGGAGCAACAGAAAGCAAGGUUGGUCGAUGUUCACUACGAUGUCCUUUCAGAUCUGUAAACAUGGCCUAAACCAUUUCCUCUUCAGGCUAAACAGACUCAGAUCCCCAAGAUCUCCAUGCACUCACACUUUAUCACCCUCAGGGCAAAGUUCUACUGAACAAAUCCUACCAAAACCUCCCUCUGCCAUGGCUUUUCCUUAGCUGUGAAGAAGCUGUUCUUCUUUUGUCCUUCUUUCCCAAGAUGUAACUGUAUCAAAACUUUGGGGGCCAGAAAGAGGUGUCGCUGCUGCCCUGGCUGAGCCGCGGGGCGUUUCUCCAUCCGGAGGCGGAAACGCGGUCGGAAAGACUGCAGUCAUUCAGGUCCCAUCUACAACUGACCGUUUAACGCCGUUUCAAACCAGGAUUGGAAAAGAGCGAUUUCGCUGUGCCAUUCACCAUUUGAUCUACACUCUGAUGGUGCCAAAUCACUUUGAUUUCAACAUGAAUCAGAUUUCUGCUGCAGUUGGGGAUGCAUUUGAGGAUAUUUCAAUUUCAAUCUAUUGCUACUAAAAUAAACUACCUGUGUUUCUGAACAAGUGGAUAAGACCAGGCAAUAGUCCUGACCAAUGCUGGAACAUUAACAUUCAAUAAUCCCAAAUCCUUUAAAGAUCCCCAUACAUACAUGCAAAUUAGCUGCAAAGAAAGCAUUUAAAUUAAAAUUUAAUUUCUUGUAUAAAAGCAAUCUGUAUCAAAGAAAUAUUUAUAUGUAAUUUCAUUUAGAAAAAGGAAAUGGUCAGUAUUCUAUACCAGCAAAUUGACUAAGUAACUUCAUCUAGCCUGACAUCCAACAAACCUGAUAGAAAUGUAAUUCACCUGUGCUCUGGCAGAUGGACCUCCUUCUCUCCAUGCAGCUGUUGCCUAUUGAAGUACAUUAGGAAAGGGAGUUGUCAUUCCAUUCCAUAUUCACAAUUGCUACUUAAUUAUGAUUUUGGGGUGGGAAAGAGACCUAUUCUGCUAGUGAUCGGAGCACAAGUAGUGUCAAGAGUCAGACGCCAGUUACAAAACAGAGUUUAUUCCGAAGAUAAGCCAAAAAAUAACAUAAAUACAGGAAAUAUCCUUGAAACACUUCACUUAUCAGUGUUUCGAGAGUAGAUUGGACAAUAGUAACUCAAAAACGAGCCACGCUAAUUUCUCAUGCUGGCAUUCAAUAAAAAACUAAAUAACGCUUCAAUUCAGCUUUGGAAAACAAAUAGAGUUAAUUGCUGGAAAAUAAACAAACUAGAAAAGCAGUAAAACUGCUUCCACAGUGCAGCUAAGCCGAGAGCCUCAAAGGGAUGAUGAAUAGCCGUCGUCAGAAGAAUCCAAGGUCAGGUCAGGAGGCAGCAGAAAUUCCGAAAGACAAACCAGUAGUCAGAAGCCGGGAAAAGUAGUCAGUCAGAGGGCGAAGACAGAAGCCAGGUCAAAUACCAAUCCAGAGUCCGAAGAGGGUGCAGUCAUCCAAACCAGGUCCACGAAAAGGCACAAAGAUGGUAUCAGCAGAUCCGAAUCACAGUCCAAGUCCAGUCUUCACGAAAGCACAGAGAUCCCAAUGGCACCUCAGCAACACCUUGCCACACGCAAAGUGCAGUGGCCAAACAUUCCCAUUUUAUUCCCCUUCCUCCUGGGUGACCAAACACUCACACCCAAACACCAGGUGUCCCAAAUC